UACAGAGGCCUCAAGCGUUAGGCGGAAUCACUGGGCUUAAAGCGCGUGUAGGCGGACCGUUAAGUACCUUGUGAAAUCCCACGGCUCAACCGUGGAACUGCUGGGUAUACUGGCGGUCUUGGGCCACUCGAGGGGUUGCCGGAACGAAGCGGUGGAGCGGUGAAAUGCGUAGAUAUCGCUUGGAACGCCAAAGGUGAAGACAGGCAAC
rnacentral:rRNA from 1 species